GGAUUGAACGCUGGCGGCAUGCCUAACACAUGCAAGUCGAACGGGAGUAGCAAUACUCUAGUGGCGGACGGGUGAGGAAUACGUAGGAAUUUGCCCUUAAGUGGGGGAUAACCCGGGGAAACCCGGAUUAAUACCGCAUGACCUCGAAAGAGCAAAGUGGGGGAUCGCAAGACCUCACGCUUUUGGAGAAGCCUACGUCGGAUUAGCUAGUUGGUGAGGUAAUGGCUCACCAAGGCGACGAUCCGUAACUGGUCUGAGAGGAUGAUCAGUCACACCGGAACUGAGACACGGUCCGGACUCCUACGGGAGGCAGCAGUGGGGAAUAUUGGACAAUGGGCGCAAGCCUGAUCCAGCAAUGCCGCGUGUGUGAAGAAGGCCU
rnacentral:rRNA from 1 species